CUGAGAUAGGCCUCCUGGAUUUCUCUUCCCCUCCCGUGGCUGUGGCUGUAUAGAAAGCUCCCUGGGAGUCGGAACUAGAAGCGGGUUGUCUUUACCUGCAUCUAAUAUGUACUUCCCUUGGCUACAAACUCCUCACUAUGGAGCCACUGAAUUUAUGAGUGGAUGAAGAGAUCGAUGAGGAAUUCGUGCUAACAUUACAUCUUUGGACUAAAAUAUGUAUUCCAUUUGUGAAGAGAAGUGCUGAGUGUCCUGUGUGAGGCUGAGGACAAGCACAAUUGAUCCCUGGGUCUGUCCCUCUUGGUUACAUCUGGAUAGGACUUGGCUCUCGUGGGCUUUGGAGUCUGAGGUCGGGGUGCCCAAGAGUCUGCUAUGGGUCUUUGAGGCUGAGGAGGUGGGAGGAGGCGGCGUGAGAGUGGUUAUGACAAGAGGGAACUGAGAAAAGUGAAAACAUUCAGUGCUUGUUUUGUGCUUCUGUACACUUUCGACCCUGGGGAAUUUUACAGGACUUUUUCGAAUAUUUAUCUUGGAUGGAUGGAGUCAUUCAUCCAAUAAACAUCCCAGAUACUGUGUAGGGGUUGGGAGUAAACAGUAAACGCUGCAGAGUUCCAGCCUUGGAGGAGCUUUCUAAGUUUGGUUGUGAGCCCCACAGGGACAAGGUGGAAAUGCCAGGAGAGGCACUUUGCCUGAGGCCCCAGGGAACACCCUAUGCCCCAGUGUAUGGAGGGAGCCAUGGCUCCCCAGGUCCCCGCAAAGCAGGAUCCCUCUAAAGCCCUCUUGACUGUGGAGAAUACGUCAAAAUGGAGAAGCUUCAGGAUAACAUCCCGGCUCAUUCUUAUACACAGGCAAACACUGAGGGUUUGAUGAAGAAAGGAGAAAGCAGGGUAAUGGGAACCACGCUGCAGAGAUGUCAGUUGCUGGCUGGUGGUUGCCAAGAUCUUGGUGGUCUGAUAAAAUGGUGUAUAAGGCAGAGCAAACACACCCUUGCGAUGAAGCCAGGCACUUCAUCCAC
rnacentral:lncRNA from 1 species